GACGAACGCUGGCGGCGUGCCUAAUACAUGCAAGUAGAACGCUGAAGGAGGAGCUUGCUCUUCUGGAUGAGUUGCGAACGGGUGAGUAACGCGUAGGUAACCUGCCUGGUAGCGGGGGAUAACUAUUGGAAACGAUAGCUAAUACCGCAUAAAAUUGAUUAUUGCAUGAUAGUCAAUUAAAAGGUGCAAUUGCAUCACUACCAGAUGGACCUGCGUUGUAUUAGCUAGUUGGUGAGGUAACGGCUCACCAAGGCAACGAUACAUAGCCGACCUGAGAGGGUGAUCGGCCACACUGGGACUGCGACACGGCCCAGACUCCUACGGGAGGCAGCAGUAGGGAAUCUUCGGCAAGGGACGGAAGUCUGACCGAGCAACGCCGCGUGAGUGAAGAAGGUUUUCGGAUCGUAAAGCUCUGUUGUAAGAGAAGAACGAGUGUGAGAGUGGAAAGUUCACACUGUGACGGUAUCUUACCAGAAAGGGACGGCUAACUACGUG
rnacentral:rRNA from 1 species